UACGAAGGGGGCUAGCGUUGCUCGGAAUUACUGGGCGUAAAGGGCGCGUAGGCGGAUAGUUCAGUUGGGGGUGAAAGCCCGGGGCUCAACCUCGGAACUGCCUUCAAUACUGGCUAUCUUGAGUACGGGAGAGGUGUGUGGAACUCCGAGUGUAGAGGUGAAAUUCGUAGAUAUUCGGAAGAACACCAGUGGCGAAGGCGACACACUGGCCCGUUACUGACGCUGAGGCGCGAAAGCGUGGGGAGCAAACAGG
rnacentral:rRNA from 1 species